GCAUAUCAAUAAGCGGAGGAAAAGAAACCAACCGGGAUUGCCUCAGUAACGGCGAGUGAAGCGGCAAAAGCUCAAAUUUGAAAUCUGGCCCUUCCGGGGUCCGAGUUGUAAUUUGUAGAGGAUGCUUCGGGUGCGGCCCCUGUCUAAGUGCUCUGGAACGGGCCAUCGGAGAGGGUGAGAAUCCCGUCUGGGACAGGGUGUCCGUGUCCGUGUGAAGCUCCUUCGACGAGUCGAGUUGUUUGGGAAUGCAGCUCUAAAUGGGUGGUAAAUUUCAUCUAAAGCUAAAUAUAGGCCGGAGACCGAUAGCGCACAAGUAGAGUGAUCGAAAGAUGAAAAGCACUUUGAAAAGAGAGUUAAACAGCACGUGAAAUUGUUGAAAGGGAAGCACUUGCAACCAGACUCGCCCACGGGGUUCAGCCGGCUUUCGGGCCGGUGUACUUCCCCGGGGGCGGGCCAGCGUCGGUUUGGGCGGCCGGUUAAAGGCCCCCGGAAUGUAACACCCCUCGGGGUGUCUUAUAGCCGGGGGUGCCAUGCGGCCAGCCCAGACCGAGGAACGCGCUUCGGCACGGACGCUGGCAUAAUGGUUGCAAAUGACCCGUCUUGAAACACGGACC
rnacentral:rRNA from 1 species